GGCAAGGUGAGGAACAGGAAGCCUUUCUACUUCCGCCUCGACCGCAGGUUGUGGAUUGCUCUUGUCACUCUUGCUGUGGUUAGCAGAAGCGCACUUGCAGCCUGUACACGGGCUCUGAAUGGCCUCCAGGGGAACGUUCCCUCAGCUGGCAGUCCUUGGGCACAUCAUCCUCUCUAUUCAGGCUGUCCAGGUCAUGGAGAGAGGAGCACUGAACCUACCUACAGGGACACAUCGAGAGUGAACAAGCCCAGAAACCCCUAGGGAGAAACACGGCAGUGGACCAGAGAGGUACAUGGUGCAUGCGACAGUGGCUAGCUGGAGUCUGCAGAGACAGCAAGGAGAGGAACCAUAGUGCA
rnacentral:lncRNA from 1 species